rnacentral:rRNA from 1 species
AGAGCAGCACUGGGUGUAAAGUGCGCGUAGGCGGACAUUUAAGUCAGGGGUGAAAUCCCAGAGCUCAACUCUGGAACUGCCUUUGAUACUGGGUGUCUUGAGUGUGAGAGAGGUAUGUGGAACUCCGAGUGUAGAGGUGAAAUUCGUAGAUAUUCGGAAGAACACCAGUGGCGAAGGCGACAUACUGGCUCAUUACUGACGCUGAGGCGCGAAAGCGUGGGGAGCAAACAGGAUUAGAUACCCUGGUAGUCCACGCCGUAAACGAUGAUUGCUAGUUGUCGGGCUGCAUGCAGUUCGGUGACGCAGCUAACGCAUUAAGCAAUCCGCCUGGGGAGUACGGUCGCAAGAUUAAACUUAAAAAUUAGACGG